CAGAGUUUGAUCCUGGCUCAGAUUGAACGCUGGCGGCAGGCCUAACACAUGCAAGUCGAGCGGAUGAAGGGAGCUUGCUCCUGGAUUCAGCGGCGGACGGGUGAGUAAUGCCUAGGAAUCUGCCUGGUAGUGGGGGAUAACGUCCGGAAACGGGCGCUAAUACCGCAUACGUCCUGAGGGAGAAAGUGGGGGAUCUUCGGACCUCACGCUAUCAGAUGAGCCUAGGUCGGAUUAGCUAGUUGGUGGGGUAAAGGCCUACCAAGGCGACGAUCCGUAACUGGUCUGAGAGGAUGAUCAGUCACACUGGAACUGAGACACGGUCCAGACUCCUACGGGAGGCAGCAGUGGGGAAUAUUGGACAAUGGGCGAAAGCCUGAUCCAGCCAUGCCGCGUGUGUGAAGAAGGUCUUCGGAUUGUAAAGCACUUUAAGUUGGGAGGAAGGGCAGUAAGUUAAUACCUUGCUGUUUUGACGUUACCAACAGAAUAA
rnacentral:rRNA from 1 species